rnacentral:rRNA from 1 species
CGCUGGCGGCAUGCCUUACACAUGCAAGUCGAACGGCAGCGCGGACUUCGGUCUGGCGGCGAGUGGCGAACGGGUGAGUAAUGUAUCGGAACGUGCCCUAGAGUGGGGGAUAACGUAGCGAAAGUUACGCUAAUACCGCAUACGAUCUACGGAUGAAAGUGGGGGACCGAAAGGCCUCACGCUCAUGGGGCGGCCGAUAUCUGAUUAGCUAGUUGGUAGGGUAAAAGCCUACCAAGGCGACGAUCAGUAGCUGGUCUGAGAGGACGACCAGCCACACUGGGACUGAGACACGGCCCAGACUCCUACGGGAGGCAGCAGUGGGGAAUUUUGGACAAUGGGGGCAACCCUGAUCCAGCAAUGCCGCGUGUGUGAAGAAGGCCUUCGGGUUGUAAAGCACUUUUGUCAGGAACGAAACGGUGGGGGCUAAUAUCCUCUGCUAAUGACGGUACCUGAAGAAUAAGCACCGGCUAACUACGUGCCAGCAGCCGCGGUAAUACGUAGGGUGCGAGCGUUAAUCGGAAUUACUGGGCGUAAAGCGUGCGCAGGCGGUUGUGCAAGACAGAUGUGAAAUCCCCGGGCUUAACCUGGGAAUUGCAUUUGUGACUGCACGGCUAGAGUGUGUCAGAGGGGGGUAGAAUUCCACGUGUAGCAGUGAAAUGCGUAGAUAUGUGGAGGAAUACCGAUGGCGAAGGCAGCCCCCUGGGAUAACACUGACGCUCAUGCACGAAAGCGUGGGGAGCAAACA